UACGAAGGGGGCUAGCGUUGUUCGGAAUUACUGGGCGUAAAGGGCGCGUAGGCGGUGUGUCAAGUCAGGCGUGAAAGCCCCGGGCUCAACCUGGGAACCGCGCUUGAGACUGGCACGCUAGAGUUCGGGAGAGGAUGGUGGAAUUCCCAGUGUAGAGGUGAAAUUCGUAGAUAUUGGGAAGAACACCGAUGGCGAAGGCAGCCAUCUGGACCGACACUGACGCUGAGGCGCGAAAAGCGUGGGGAGCAAACAGG
rnacentral:rRNA from 1 species